UACGUAGGGGGCUAGCGUUGUCCGGAUUUAUUGGGCGUAAGAGCGUGUAGGCGCCAGGUAGGUCCGCUGUGAAAGUCCGAGGCUCAACCUCGGAAUGUCGGCGGAAACCCUCUGGCUAGAGUCCGGAAGAGGAGAGUGGAAUUCCCGGUGUAGCGGUGAAAUGCGCAGAUAUCGGGAAGAACACCCGUGGCGAAGGCGGCUCUCUGGAACGGUACUGACGCUGAGACGCGAAAGCGUGGGGAGCGAACAGG
rnacentral:rRNA from 1 species